CACAAACACAAACAUGUGGGCAGCUGCAGGGCCAGAGUCCACUCCUGCUGCCCCCAACGUCCCUGUGGCAGGACAGUCAGCUGGUGACACUGGUGAGAGCAGGCACUGGGGACUGCCGGUGGUGACAGCCUUCUCUUGGGCUGAUGCUCAGCAGCCUGAGGAUUUACUGUGAGUGAGCCCAGAGUGUGUCUACAGACUGGCACCAAGGAGGCAGGGGCCUGGGAAGGCUCAACCUGGCCAGUGGCAGAGUACCAGGAAGGCUGCGAAACCCACUCCUGCUCACCUGAGGAGCACGGGGUGGAGAAAAGAAUGCCUACUCAAGAAUGCACAAUGACAGGCACACCAGGCAAGAAUCAUCACAACAGGACAGCACCAGGCAAUGGACAUCUGCAGAGAGCAGAGGGUCGACACAGUCUCAAAUCAUCUUCCUUCAGAUGACUUCGUAAGUACAAAAGGAAAAUACAGGUGACCUUUGGACAACACAGGUUUGAACCAUGAGAGGCCAGUUAUAAGCAUGUCUUUUUUCAGCCAGACACAGAUGGAAAAUACAGUCUUGAAGGGAUUUGAAACCUGCGUAUAUGGAAAGCCAGCUUUUUGCAUAUGUGGGUUCCCAGGGCUGACUAUGAGCGAAUCAGGGUACACGCAGGGGGUCCUGGAACCAAUGCCCCUCAUCCCCUGACGAAAGACUAUAGUAACUUAACAAUGCGAACCUUCAGUGACAAUACCAUAAUCAAGUUGUAAAGAUCAACAUCAGCAAAAACUGGACCAGCCAACACCAUCAUGGCUGUAGAAGGCCACCUCUUGUCUGGGGACCAGAUGGGAUCCCAACGAAACACCACACAAACCAAAGCGGCCCUUCAAGAAAUCCCAUCCAUCACGAGAGGUGUGGAAAGGCUGAGGAAUGCGCUGUACUAAAGGAAACUAAAGAGGUCUUAAAAGGAAUGCGACUGGUUCCUGAACCAGAAUAAAAGAAUAACAUAAAGGAGGUUUAUAUGAACAGUUGGGGAAACCUGAAUGAGGUCUGUAGAUUCAACCCUGCAUCUUAUUAAGGUUAAACAUCCUGACUGUGGUUAACUUUACUGUGCUAUGUAAUUGCAUAACCCUACCUUUAGUCAAUAGACUCAGGUAUUUAGGCGUAAAGACACUUGACACUUACAAAUGAGUCUCAAAUGGUCCAGAGAAAAGAAUCAUGACAUGUGUACAUAUAAAUGUAUAUACGUGCAUAUAUGUAUCUCUAUAUAUGUACGGAACAAUGGAAAUGCUUCGAAAUGUGGGAAAGAUAUUAACAAUUGGGGAAUCAGGGUAAAGAACAUAUGAGAGUUCUUUGCCCUAUUACCACAACUUCUCUAUAUGUUUGACAUUUUUUCAAAAUAAAAGUUUAAAGAAACACA